CGGACGGGUGAGUAACACGUAGGCAACCUGCCCAUCAGACUGGGAUAACCACGGGAAACCGUGGCUAAUACCGGAUAACCCUUUUCCACACAGGUGGGAAAGUUGAAAGGCGGUCUUUUGGCUGUCACUGAUGGAUGGGCCUGCGGCGCAUUAGCUGGUUGGUGGGGUAACGGCCCACCAAGGCGACGAUGCGUAGCCGACCUGAGAGGGUGAUCGGCCACACUGGGACUGAGACACGGCCCAGACUCCUACGGGAGGCAGCAGUAGGGAAUCUUCCGCAAUGGACGAAAGUCUGACGGAGCAACGCCGCGUGAGUGAAGAAGGGUUUCGGCUCGUAAAACUCUGUUGUCAGGGAAGAACGCCGACGGGAGUAACUGCCCGUCGGGUGACGGUACCUGACCAGAAAGCCACGGCUAACUACGUGCCAGCAGCCGCGGUAAUACGUAGGUGGCAAGCGUUAUCCGGAAUUAUUGGGCGUAAAGCGCGCGUAGGCGGUUCGUUAAGUCUGAUGUGAAAGCCCCCGGCUCAACCGGGGAGGGUCAUUGGAAACUGGCGGACUU
rnacentral:rRNA from 1 species